UUGCCAUAGGUAAUUAAAUAGUUAGUCUGCUCUAUUAGUGUCAAAACAAGUUUUAAAACAGAAAUUUUCAGUUAGAAUGAAAAUAAAAUGUUUCAAGACUGUUACUUUCUUCCGAGGAAUCAGUUUGUUUUCUGUUUCGUAUCCGAUUCUAUAUGCUUUUUGUCAAUAUCAAGCUAACAGCAUGUUCGCAACCAAGCAGCCAUAGGACUACAGUAUCACAUUCAUUGUGAAUUGGAAGAGAUACACCCUAUGUAGCCUAGCAACAAAUUAAGGAAUUGCUUUGGUUGAUUGCAGUGGAAGAAAAUUCAAUACAAGAAUCCUAUAAAAAGAAAAAAAAAAUACUUUAAAAUUUUUAAGCAUAGCAAACACAGCAGACCAUAUUGAAAUAUGAUAGAAGGUACAUUAAAUUUUAACUCUGUAUACUCAAAAAAGAAAACUGAUUUGACUAUGGAAACAAAUCUCUACCACCUCAUCUGACGUUCAAACCCCAGACAAUUGACACCAUAUGCCAGUGUUCUACCACAGAACUAAUGAAUAUAGAUGAAGACUACUCAGAUUAAUAAAUGG